rnacentral:lncRNA from 1 species
UGGGCUCGUUUCCGUUCUUAUUUUUAUGUCGGAAAAAUAUUUAUUAAUUAAUUUAUUAUUAAUUUUUGAUUUUUUUUUUUUUAAUCUAAUCUAGUUUAUACACCAUUCAUAACCUUAGUGUUGAUUGAUGAGUGAAUCACUAAUCAAAUUAACAUUCUUAAGUUAUAAUUAUAAGUUACUUACUAAGAAUCUUGAAUUCUUAGUAAUAAUAUUAGAUUAGUGAUG